rnacentral:rRNA from 1 species
AUUGAACGCUGGCGGCAGGCUUAACACAUGCAAGUCGAGCGAGCGGCGGACGGGUGAGUAAUGUAUGGGAAAAUGCCUGAUGGAGGGGGAUAACUACGGGAAACGGUAGCUAAUAACGCAUACCAUCAGAUGUGCCCAGAUGGGAUUAGCUAGUAGGUGGGGUAAUGGCUCACCAAGGCGACGAUCCCUAGCUGGUCUGAGAGGAUGACCAUCCACACUGGAACUGAGACACGGUCCAGACUCCUACGGGAGGCAGCAGUGGGGAAUAUUGGACAAUGGGCGCAAGCCUGAUGCAGCCAUGCCGCGUGUGUGAAGAAGGCCUUCGGGUUGUAAAGCACUGUCGGCGGGAAGGCGUUACUCGCAGAAGAAGCACCGGCUAACUCCGUGCCAGCAGCCGCGGUAAUAC